GAUGAACGCUAGCGGCAGGCUUAAUACAUGCAAGUCGAGGGGCAGCACGGUUAGCAAUAACUGGUGGCGACCGGCGCACGGGUGCGUAACACGUAUACAAUCUACCUUAAACAGGGGGAUAGCCUUUCGAAAGAGAGAUUAAUACCCCGUAAUAAAUUGAACGGCAUCGUUUGAUUUUGAAAGCUCCGGCGGUUUGAGAUGAGUAUGCGUCUGAUUAGCUAGUUGGUGAGGUAACGGCUCACCAAGGCGACGAUCAGUAGGGGAUCUGAGAGGACUAACCCCCACACUGGUACUGAGACACGGACCAGACUCCUACGGGAGGCAGCAGUAAGGAAUAUUGGUCAAUGGAGGCAACUCUGAACCAGCCAUGCCGCGUGCAGGGUGACGGCCCUAUGGGUUGUAAACUGCUUUUAUACAAGAGAAAACCCUGGUACGUGUACCAGGUUGAUAGUAUUGUAAGAAUAGGCAUCGGCUAACUUCGUGCCAGCAGCCGCGGUAAU
rnacentral:rRNA from 1 species